rnacentral:rRNA from 1 species
CCUACGGGAGGCAGCAGUGGGGAAUAUUGCACAAUGGGGGAAACCCUGAUGCAGCGACGCCGCGUGAGUGAAGAAGUAUUUCGGUAUGUAACGCUCUAUCAGCAGGGAAGAAAAAAGACGGUACCUGACUAAGAAGCCCCGGCUAACUACGUGCCAGUAGCCGCGGUAAUACGUAGGGGGCAAGCGUUAUCCGGAAUUACUGGGUGGAAAGGGUGCGUAGGUGGCAUGGUAAGUCAGAAGUGAAAGCACGGGGCUUAACCCCGGGACUGCUUUUGAAACUGUCAUGCUGGAGUGCAGGAGAGGUAAGCGGAAUUCCUAGUGUAGCGGUGAUAUGCGUAGAUAUUAGGAGGAACACCAGUGGCGAAGGCGGCUUACUGGACUGUCACUGACACUGAUGCACGAAAGCGUGGGGAGCAAACAGGAUUAGAUACCCCUGUAGUC